AUGCCGCGUGUGUGAAGAANNNNNUUUUGGUUGUAAAGCACUUUAAGCAGUGAAGAAGACUCCGUGGUUAAUACCCACGGACGAUGACAUUAGCUGCAGAAUAAGCACCGGCUAACUCUGUGCCAGCAGCCGCGGUAAUACAGAGGGUGCAAGCGUUAAUCGGAAUUACUGGGCGUAAAGGGAGCGUAGGUGGCUCUAUAAGUCAGAUGUGAAAUCCCCGGGCUCAACCUGGGAACUGCAUCUGAAACUGUAGAGCUAGAGUAUGUGAGAGGAAGGUAGAAUUCCAGGUGUAGCGGUGAAAUGCGUAGAGAUCUGGAGGAAUACCGAUGGCGAAGGCAGCCUUCUGGCAUAAUACUGACACUGAGGCUCGAAAGCGUGGGUAGCAAACAGGAUUAGAUACCCUGGUAGUCCACUGCUGCCUCCCG
rnacentral:rRNA from 1 species